GAUGAACGCUGGCGGCGUGCCUAAUACAUGCAAGUCGAGCGAACAGACGAGGAGCUUGCUCCUCUGACGUUAGCGGCGGACGGGUGAGUAACACGUGGAUAACCUACCUAUAAGACUGGGAUAACUUCGGGAAACCGGAGCUAAUACCGGAUAAUAUAUUGAACCGCAUGGUUCAAUAGGGAAGGACGGUUUUGCUGUCACUUAUAGAUGGAUCCGCGCCGCAUUAGCUAGUUGGUAAGGUAACGGCUUACCAAGGCAACGAUGCGUAGCCGACCUGAGAGGGUGAUCGGCCACACUGGAACUGAGACACGGUCCAGACUCCUACGGGAGGCAGCAGUAGGGAAUCUUCCGCAAUGGGCGAAAGCUUGACGGAGCAACGCCGCGUGAGUGAUGAAGGUCUUCGGAUCGUAAAACUCUGUUAUUAGGGAAGAACAAAUGUGUAAGUAACUAUGCACGUCUUGACGGUACCUAAUCAGAAAGCCACGGCUAACUACGUG
rnacentral:rRNA from 1 species